rnacentral:rRNA from 1 species
UACAGAGGGUGCGAGCGUUGUCCGGAAUCACUGGGCGUAAAGGGCGCGUAGGUGGCGCGACAAGUCAAUGGUGAAAGCUCGAUGCUUAACAUCGAGUCGGCCACUGAUACUGUUGGGCUUGAGCACUGUAGAGGCUAAUGGAAUUCCGGGUGUAGCGGUGGAAUGCGUAGAGAUCCGGAAGAACACCGGUGGCGAAGGCGGUUAGCUGG